rnacentral:rRNA from 1 species
AUUGAACGCUGGCGGCAUGCCUUACACAUGCAAGUCGAACGGUAACAGGUCUUCGGAUGCUGACGAGUGGCGAACGGGUGAGUAAUACAUCGGAACGUGCCUAGUAGUGGGGGAUAACUACUCGAAAGAGUGGCUAAUACCGCAUGAGAUCUACGGAUGAAAGCAGGGGAUCGCAAGACCUUGUGCUACUAGAGCGGCCGAUGGCAGAUUAGGUAGUUGGUGGGAUAAAAGCUUACCAAGCCGACGAUCUGUAGCUGGUCUGAGAGGACGAUCAGCCACACUGGGACUGAGACACGGCCCAGACUCCUACGGGAGGCAGCUGUGGGGAAUUUUGGACAAUGGGCGAAAGCCUGAUCCAGCAAUGCCGCGUGCAGGAUGAAGGCCUUCGGGUUGUAAACUGCUUUUGUACGGAACGAAAAGCCCUGGGUUAAUACCCUGGGGUCAUGACGGUACCGUAAGAAUAAGCACCGGCUAACUACGUGCCAGCCGCCGCGGUAAAAC